UCCGGUUUGGCACCGGCAGUCCCUCCAGAGUCCCCGGCAUUACCCGCUGGUAACUGGAGAUGAGGGUUGCGCUCGUUGCGGGACUUAACCCAACAUCUCACGACACGAGCUGACGACAGCCAUGCAGCAUCUGUGCUGGAACUCCGAAGAGGGGCUCACGUUUCUGCAAGCUUUCUCCAGCAUGUCAAGCCCAGGUAAGGUUCUUCGCGUUGCGUCGAAUUAAACCACAUGCUCCACCGCUUGUGCGGGCCCCCGUCAAUUCCUUUGAGUUUCAGCCUUGCGGCCGUACUCCCCAGGCGGGGUACUUCAUGCGUUAGCGCCGGCACCCAGGGGGUCGCUCCCCCAGACACCUAGUACCCAUCGUUUACGGCGUGGACUAC
rnacentral:misc_RNA from 1 species